AGAGUCGGCGGGGCAGGAACAUCAUCGUUGGGGAUAGAGUUCGAUAUGUCGAGAUAUCUGCUAAAAGAUUGAAGAAGUUACGCGUCGGCGGGGCAGGAGCUCGGCGGCGGCGCAGAAUGGUCGCCGGCGGCCUCUGGAGUUUUUUGACGACUUAAAGUACUUAGGAAAAUCUUACACUAUUUUUGGACAACUUAAAGUACUUAGGAUAACAUGUUAAAAAUAUUUAUUUACCAGUUCUUCCUCAAACGAGUUUUGCUUGCACUGGUUAGAGUUACGUUGCACAUUUAAUUAAUUCAUUACAAUAAUUGGAGAAGUUCCCACGAUUAAGUUGUUCACGUCGAACGGGAUUAAUAGUACAACGCGGUGUAAACGAGGUCAACUAAGUUAGUAUGGUGGAAUUUUAUCGUAAAAAUCGUUCAAUGGUUU
rnacentral:lncRNA from 1 species